CCUGUCCUCUGUGAAGAAAUUUUGCUUUCAAUCAUAGGCACACACCCAUGUGUAUUCCGCGAGGUGUUAAUGUGACCGCCGCAUUAUUCCACAGUGAUUACUAUGUGAUUUUCAGCAUUGAUGCCUUGGCGAUUAAGCAAGUCCUACUUGACAGUAGUGGCCUAAGGUCCACAUCCAAGAAUGCGAGAGUUGCACCAGAAACCUUUAAGAGUUAUGCUCACAAUAACUCAGCAUUUUUGCUACAGUAGAUCAAAAUUGAGGCCACUGUUUCCUCCGCUCCAAAGUAGCUUCUUCAAGCCAACUCAGCCUCCAAAUUUCAACGUGGUUAAUGUGUGACAGCCGCUUUCCUUGCCUUCAUCAGGUCGCCUGACAAAAUUGAAACCUCAGGACAGUUAUCUAAGGAUCAUUGUUUGGUAGCCUACACAGCUGUUCUCAAGCUAGUCUUCUCAUAGAGAUCUGACUUUUUGAUUAAAAGGCAGGAAGUGGCUGUCUUGGCCACGUUCUCGUACACAAGGACUCUCCUUCUCUUAGUUUUAUGUGAAUUUUACAAAGGAAUGUAGAAGGGUAACUCAAAAGUGAGUGCCAUACCAUCACCCAAUGUCACGUGAUCAACUUGUGAUGGCCUCAGGCCAUUUUCUUGAGGGUCACGUGAUUCCUGUGGGACAAGACAUGAAUAUCACAAUUCCUGCGUCCUUGCUAUAAGAUUUUCAGGAGACAUCCACCUCAUUUUCUGCUGCUGGAUAAAACAAGGAAUUCCAAAACAUGUUGAAGGAAAUGCCACAAUAUCAAUAUCUCAGCUUUCUUUUCAUGAUCCUUAAGCCAAUCCUCAGAAUUUGUAGUCUAUGGUUUGCUAUAGAGGAAUUCUGAGGCAGACGUUCUUUCAGUGAUGAAGAGAUAUCCUCACAAUGACUCAGUAUUUGACCUACAAUGCAGCAAAUGGCAACUGCUGUUUCCACCGCUCUAAAGUAUCUUCCUCAUAUAAACUGAGCCUCCAUAUUUAAAAGCAGUUAAUGUGCUAGAGCAUCUCCCAUUGCCUACAAGCUGGUUGCCUGACCAGAGCCAAAAACUCAGGCCAGAUAGCUAAGGAUCGUUGUGUGGUAGCCUACAGUGCUAUUCUCAAGCCAGUCUUCUCAUGCAGACUUGGCCUUUCGAUUGAAGUGCAGUGGGGUCACUGUCUUGGCCAUGCUGUGGUACACACGGACUCUCUUUUUCUCUGUGUUUAUGUGAAUUUACCAAGGAAUGUAGAAGGGUAACUCAAAGUGAGGACCACACCAUCUCCCAAUGUCACAUGUUCAACCUGUGAUUCCCUUAGUCCAGACCCUUUAUGGUCACAUGAAUCCCGUGGGGCAGCCACAUGAAUAUUGCAAGAUUCCCGGGUUCUUGCUACAAGAAUUUCAGGUGAAAUUCCGCCUCAUUAUCCUCUGCUGUUUUAACCAAGGGUUUCCAGAACACGUAGAAGGAACUGGCUCAAUGUCAAAUUAUCAGCUUUCUUUUCAUAUUCAUUAAGCCAAUUCCUUUCAGAUAUUUUUGUCUGAGGUUUGCUAUAGAGGAAUUCUGAGGCAAUUGUUCUUUUCAGCAAGAAUAGGUAUCCACGCAAUGACUCAGCAUUUUACCCAUGAUCCAGCAAAUGGUGGCUGCUGUUUCCACCGCUAUCCAGUCGAUUCUUCAAAGCACACUCAGCUUCCAGAUUUCAUUGCGCUCCAUAUGUGACUGCCUCCUCUAUUGCCAUAAAGCAGAUUUUCUGACAACACACAAAAUCUGAAGCAAAUUAAGGUUCAUUUUCUGGCCGCAUAUACUGUUGACCUCAAGUAAGUUUUGUAAUGUGGAUACGACAUUUGAUUGGAGGACAAUUAGGAGGCUGUCUCGGCCAUCUUCUGUCACACACUGACUAAUGUUUUCUCACUAUGUGAAUUAUGUCAAGUGAUAUGCACUUGUCAUUCCGAAGAGAUGAAUACAUCAUAACCCAUGUGUGACAUGAUCUUUUGUUUCAUUCAGGCAGGUCUCUGAUGGGCACCAGAUUGCCACAGGGCCGUCCUGUUAUCCUAUCAUGACUCACGUGGGCCAAUGGUCCCAAGGUUAACACUGUCAAAUUUUGAACAGACCAUGCAAAAGACCUACUCACACAACCAAUAUCCUAGACCUUGUGACGGAAACUAAUGCGAAGUGCAUGGCCCACAAACCAAAGCUGUCUACUCUUACAGAAAACAAUGGAGACCUCCUUUUAUGGUAACAGCACUAUCCUCCCUACAAAUGAUGUAGACUGGAGGUUCACGCCCAUGAUACAGAGCCUUCCUAACAAUGAUAAAAUAGAGUCCUGCACUAAAGCCACCAAGCCUGUCCUCAUUGAAAAUUAGUAGGUCGGAGACGUUAAAUCGCAAGGCCAGUCUUUCCUCUGGUAAGAACAUCUUUGUUAUAGAACUGCAACCUCCCUCCAUGUCUGGAAUUUCUCUUAGGAGUGAGAGUUGAUUUCAGCUUGCAUUUCCAGUCCCUUCAUGUUAUAAAGCAUGUAGAGCUGAGAUCUAGUUCCAGAGUAUUUGUUCUGUUUUUUUCCUAACAGAGAUUGAAGUGGUGGCCCAGGCUCAUGGUUCUAAGCCUCUCCUCCCUGAACGAAUUGUGUCCUAGGCCCACAGAAACAAUCCUGUCUAUAUGAAAAGGAAACUAAAAUGAAGUCUUAUGCCUGUGACACCAAACCUAGACUCUCCUAACAAAAAUUAGUGUGCAGGUCCAGGCACCUAAGACCAUAUGAUUGAUAACAGAAUAGAAAAAACAACUUCUCACACUACACCCAAGAUAGCCCAUGUGAACAGAAAUUUAUGUGAAGUUUCGGGACUACAAACAAAGCUGUCAUCUCUGAACAAAAGGAAGAAUGGAGUCCUGCAUUCAUACUAGCAACAUCAUCUUCUAUUGAAAGGAAGUGGAGUGAUGACACAUGCCAAAGGCACAAAGCCUCACUUUUCCUAAGGAUAACUACCAAGGAGACUGGUAUCCAUGUCUUUAAACCUGUGCUCACUGAAAACAAGUUAGAGAAGACCUUCCCCACAGGGCAAUCCUUUCCUCAGGUAAGAGAAUCUUAACUUGGGACCAGGGAACGUCUCUACUACCUGGAUUUCUAAUGCUUUGGUUUCCAGUUCCAAUCCCUUCCCCUAUUUUCAGGAAGUAGAGCUGAGAAAUUGGCCCGCAGCAUUUCUUCUGCUUUAACAGAAACUGAAGUGGAGGCCUGGAGUCACGGAUCUAAGCCUGUCCUCUUGGAAUGAAUGUUUGGUCCUAGGCACAUAGCAACAAGCCUUCUUUAUGGAAGAGAAACUAGAAUGGAGACUGUUGAAAUCUGCACCAAGCUUGGAACUUCUAAUAGAAAGUAGUUGGCAGCCACAGGCCUGCAAGGUCUAGACCAACCAAUUGAUAAGAAAGUACAGACUGAAGCCCUAGGCCCACAACACCCAGCCUGGCCCUUGGUACCAGAUACUCUUGGGGAGACAUAGGCCCAUAGAACCAAGAUGUCAUCUCCUAGAAGUAGGAAGAACGGAGGACUUGGUUCACAUCAUCAAGACUGUGCUCCCUUUAUAGCAUUUACGAUAGAAAUUUGGGCCAAUGGAAACAUACUUCUGUCAUCCUAACAGUCCACUCAGCACGACCUGGACCCACAUCACCAAUUUUCCCUUUUGCCAUUGAUUGAAAGGUGACCGUACCCUAUAGCACCAAAUCUUUCCCCUGGUAAAGAAAGGAAGUGUGAGUACUUAGAAAUUAGGCAAAAAACCUGGACUCGUCUUUCAGGAACUUGAAUGGUGAGAUUGGAAGCACGGCCAAGCAUUGUUUCUAUUUCCAGGAAGUAGAGUGAAGACUUUGGCCCAGAGUAUCUCGUCUAAAUUUUCAUAACGGAAACUUGGACACACGUAACUAGACCAUCUUGGUCUAAAAAAAAAAAAAGUCUAUAAAAGUCCACGGUUGAUCACUCUGUCCUCUGCCUGGAAGCAGAGUGGAUAAUUGAAAACAUGACACUAUGCCGGUCUCAUUUUCAAGGUAAACUCGAUUGGAAAACAUUUCACACACUUCAAGCCUGGUUCGUUCUAAGAAAUAGAGUGAAAACCUACACCCUCAGGAACAAGACUAGUCAUCUGGGUGACAAAUGAUUCCCAUGGGGUCUUCCAGGACCCCCAUGUGUAUCCCGCUAGGUGUUAAUGUGACUGCCGCAUGCUUCCGUAGUGAUUGCUCUGUGAUUUUCAGGUGACUUCCACCAUAUUCCUUUUCCCCUAUCCUCAACCAAGUGUUUUCAAAACAUGUCUCAAAAACUGCACAAUUUCAAUAUUUCAGCAUUGACGCUAUACCGUUAAGUUAUUCCCUCUUGACAGUAGUGGCCUAAGGUUUGCGUAGAAGAAUAGUACAGGAGUCCCCGUUGAACCCUCUAAGAGCUAUGCUCACAAUGAUUCAACAUUUUUGCCACAAUAGAGCAAAAUGGCAGCUGCUGUUUCCUCCGCCGACUCACCUUCCAAAUUUCUAUGCGGUUAACGUUCAACAACCGCUGUCCUUGUCUUCAAGUAGGUUGCCUGACCAAGCCGUAACCUCAGGCCAGUUAUAUAAGGAUCAUUGUUUCAUAGCCUAGUCCGCUGUCUCAAGCCAGUCUUCUCAUGGAGACCUGACCUUUUGAUUAAAGGGCAGUAUGUGGCAGUCUCGGCAAUGCUCUGGUACACAAGGACUCUCUUUUUCUCAGUGUUUAUGUGAAUAUUACCAGGGAAAAUAGAAUGGUAACUCAAAAGUGAGCACCACACCAUCACCCAAUGACAAGUGAUUAACCUAUGAUUUCCUCAGGCCAGUCUUUUGAUGGUCACGUGAUUUCCAUGGACAUGACAUGAAUAUCGUGAGAUUCCAGCACUCUUACUACAAGAUUUACAGGUGACAUUCAACUCAUUUGGCGAUGUUGUCUGUCUUAAACAAGGAAUUCUAAAACACAUCGAAGGAACUGCCUCAAUGUCAAUAUCUCAGCUUUCAUUCCAUGGUCGUUAAGCCAAUUCCUCUCAGAAUUUGUUGUCUAAGGUUUGCUAUAGAGGAAUUCUGAGGUAACCUUCUUUUUCUGCAAUGAAGAGGUAUCUUCACAAUGACUCAGUAUUUUACCUACAAUACAGCAAAAUGGCAACUGCUGUUUCCACCACUCUACAGUAUCUUUCUCAAGUAAACUCAGCCUCCAUAUUUAAACACAGUUAAUGGGCUAGAGCAGCUCCCAUUGCCUACAAGCAGGUUGCCUGACCAUAGUCGAAACCUCAGGAGAAUCAUCUAAGGAUCAUUAUCUGGUAGACUACAGUACUAUUUCAAGCCAGUCUUCUCAUGCAGACCUGAACUUUUGAUUGAAGGUCAGUGAGGUGGCUGUCUCGUCCACUCUCUAGUAAACAAGGAUUCUCUUUUUCUCUUUGUUUAUGUGAAUUUUACCAAGGAAUGUAGAAGGGUAACUCAAAAGUGAGUGCCACACCACACACAAUGUUACGUGAUCUCCCUGUGAGGCCCUCAGGCAAGUCUCUUGAUGGUCCUGUGAUAUCCAUGAGACAGUCACGUGAAUAUGAUGAGAUUGCGUAUUCUUGUGACAAGAUUUUCAGGUGACUUCCACCUCAUUUUUUCUACUGGCCUAAACCAAGGGUUUCCAGAACCCAUUGAAGGAAUUGGCUCAAUGUCACAUACUCAGCUUCCUUUCAAUGGUCAUUAAGCCAAUCCCUCCAGAAUUUGUAGUCUGAGGUUUGCUAGAGAGGAAUUCUGAGGCAAUCGUUCUUUGCACCUAGAAGAGGUAUCCAUAUAAUGACUCAGAAAUUUACAAUCCAGCAAAUGGCGGCUGUUGUUUCCAUCGCUAUCCAGUCACUUCCUCACAGCACACUCAGCCUCUAGUUUUCAUCGCGCUACAUAUGCGACUUCUGCCUCCAUUUUUGUAAAGCUGGCUUCCUGACAACACACCAAACCUGAGGUGAAUUAAGGGUCAUUGUUUACCCUCAUAUACCGUUGACCUCAAGUAAAUUUUGUGAUCUGGAUAUGACAUUCAGUUGGAGAUCAGUUGGGAGGCUAUCUCGACCACCUAGUGUUACAUGCAGACUAAUGUUUUCUCAGUGUUUGUGUGAAUUUUAUCAAGUGAUAUGUACUCGUCCUUCCAAAGAGAGCACUAUGACAUCCUCAUGUGCCACAUGAUCUUCCUUUGUUUCAUAUAGGCAGGUCUCUGAUGGGCACCGUAUUCCCACGUGGCGAUCACAUUAUCCUGUUGUGUCUCUUGCGGGCCGAUGUUCCCAAAGUUAACACUGUCUAAUUUUGAACAGUCUAUGUAAAAGACCUACUCACACUACCAACAUCCUAGACCUUUUGACAGAAACUAAUGUGUAGUGCAUGGCCCAGUGACCAAAGCUGCCUACUCUUACAGAAAAUAAAGGAGACCUCUGAUUCAUAGUAACAGCACUGUCCUCCUUUUAAAUAAUGUAGACUUGAGACUCAUCCCCAUGACACAAAGCUAGUCUCUUUCUAACAAUGAUACAAUGGAGCCCUGGACUAAAGCCAUCAAGCCUGUCCUCGUUGAAAAUUAGUAGGUUGGAGAUGUUAAAUCGUAAGGCCAGUCUUUCCUCUGGAAAGAAUAUCUUUCUUGGAGAACUAGAAAAUUAGCUGCAUAUCUGGAAUUUCUCUUAGGAGCUAGAGCUGUGACCUGGCUUACAGUUCAGAUCCCUUUACCUAUUUCAGGAUAUAAAACUGAGACCUAGUCCCACAAUUUCCUUUGUUUUUUUUUGUUUGUUUGUUUUCUUUUGUUUUUUUUCAUAAUAGAGACUGAAGUGGUUGCUUGGGCCCAUGGUUCAAAGCCUCUCCUCCCUGAACAAAUGUUGAAUGGUGUCCUAGGCCCACAGAAACAAUCCUGUCUUUACGCAAGUGAAACUAGAAUGAAGAAUUAGGCCUAUGACACCAAGCCUGGACUCUCUUAACAGGAAUUAGUGUGCAGCCCAGGCUCCCAAGUCAAGACUGUCUAAUCGAUAACACUAGACAAAACAACUUGUCACACUACACUCAAGGUAGCCCUUGUGACCAAGAACUCAUGUGAAGUUUACAACCCACAAUCAAAGCUGUCUUCUCUGAACAAAAGGAAGAAUGGAGGCAUCCAUUCAUAACAGCAAUACUGUCUUCCCUUGAAAGGAUGUGGAGUGGUGACACGGGCCCAUGGCAAAAAGCCUAUCUUUUCUUAACGAUAAGAACCAGGAAGACUGAUUCCCAUGGCAAUAAACGCGUGCUAUCUGAAAACAAUUUAGAAGAGACCUUACACUAUAUAGGGCAAGGCCUGUCCUCAGGUAAGAGAAUCUUAACUCGAGAACUAGGACCUUGGCUCCUGCCUGGAUUUCUAAUCAGGAACCAUAGAAGUGACCUUGGUUUGCACUUUUAAUCCUUUCCCUUAUUUCCAGGAAGUAGAGCUGAGAAAUUGGCCCACAGUAUUUCUUCUGUUUUUCUCUAAGAGAGAUUGAAGCAGUGGGUUUGGGUCACGGUUCUAAGCCUGUCCUCUCUGAACAAAUAUUGCCUUCGGUCCUAGGCGCACAGCAACAUGCCUUUUUUAUGGAAGAGAAACUAGAAUGGAGACUGUGGAAAUCAGCACAAAGCCUGAAACUCCUAGUAGAAAGCAUUUGGUAGCCACAAGCCCACAAGUUCUAGACCAAUCAAU